UGGGGAAUAUUGGACAAUGGGCGAAAGCCUGAUCCAGCAAUGCCGCGUGAGUGAUGAAGGCCUUAGGGUUGUAAAGCUCUUUUACCAGGGAUGAUAAUGACAGUACCUGGAGAAUAAGCUCCGGCUAACUCCGUGCCAGCAGCCGCGGUAAUACGGAGGGAGCUAGCGUUGUUCGGAAUUACUGGGCGUAAAGCGUGCGUAGGCGGUGACUCAAGUCAGAGGUGAAAGCCUGGAGCUCAACUCCAGAACUGCCUUUGAAACUAGGUCGCUAGAAUCUGGGAGAGGUGAGUGGAAUUCCGAGUGUAGAGGUGAAAUCCGUAGAUAUUCGGAAGAACACCAGUGGCGAAGGCGGCUCACUGGACCAGAAUUGACGCUGAGGCACGAAAGCGUGGGGAGCAAACAGGAUUAGAUACCCCCGUAGUCCCUGAGCGGGCUGGCAAGGCGCAU
rnacentral:rRNA from 1 species